rnacentral:rRNA from 1 species
ACACAUGCAGUCGAGCGGUAGCACAGAGAGCUUGCUCUCGGGUGACGAGCGGCGGACGGGUGAGUAAUGUCUGGGAAACUGCCUGAUGGAGGGGGAUAACUACUGGAAACGGUAGCUAAUACCGCAUAAUGUCGCAAGACCAAAGUGGGGGACCUUCGGGCCUCAUGCCAUCAGAUGUGCCCAGAUGGGAUUAGCUAGUAGGUGGGGUAACGGCUCACCUAGGCGACGAUCCCUAGCUGGUCUGAGAGGAUGACCAGCCACACUGGAACUGAGACACGGUCCAGACUCCUACGGGAGGCAGCAGUGGGGAAUAUUGCACAAUGGGCGCAAGCCUGAUGCAGCCAUGCCGCGUGUGUGAAGAAGGCCUUCGGGUUGUAAAGCACUUUCAGCGGGGAGGAAGGCGGUUAGGUUAAUAACCUUGUCGAUUGACGUUACCCGCAGAAGAAGCACCGGCUAACUCCGUGCCAGCAGCCGCGGUAAUACGGAGGGUGCAAGCGUUAAUCGGAAUUACUGGGCGUAAAGCGCACGCAGGCGGUCUGUCAAGUCGGAUGUGAAAUCCCCGGGCUCAACCUGGGAACUGCAUUCGAAACUGGCAGGCUAGAGUCUUGUAGAGGGGGGUAGAAUUCCAGGUGUAGCGGUGAAAUGCGUAGAGAUCUGGAGGAAUACCGGUGGCGAAGGCGGCCCCCUGGACAAAGACUGACGCUCAGGUGCGAAAGCGUGGGGAGCAAACAGGAUUAGAUACCCUGGUAGUCCACGCCGUAAACGAUGUCGAUUUGGAGGUUGUGCCCUUGAGGCGUGGCUUCCGGAGCUAACGCGUUAAAUCGACCGCCUGGGGAGUACGGCCGCAAGGUUAAAACUCAAAUGAAUUGACGGGGGCCCGCACAAGCGGUGGAGCAUGUGGUUUAAUUCGAUGCAACGCGAAGAACCUUACCUGGUCUUGACAUCCACAGAACUUUCCAGAGAUGGAUUGGUGCCUUCGGGAACUGUGAGACAGGUGCUGCAUGGCUGUCGUCAGCUCGUGUUGUGAAAUGUUGGGUUAAGUCCCGCAACGAGCGCAACCCUUAUCCUUUGUUGCCAGCGGUUCGGCCGGGAACUCAAAGGAGACUGCCAGUGAUAAACUGGAGGAAGGUGGGGAUGACGUCAAGUCAUCAUGGCCCUUACGACCAGGGCUACACACGUGCUACAAUGGCAUAUACAAAGAGAAGCGACCUCGCGAGAGCAAGCGGACCUCAUAAAGUAUGUCGUAGUCCGGAUUGGAGUCUGCAACUCGACUCCAUGAAGUCGGAAUCGCUAGUAAUCGUAGAUCAGAAUGCUACGGUGAAUACGUUCCCGGGCCUUGUACACACCGCCCGUCACACCAUGGGAGUGGGUUGCAAAAGAAGUAGGUAGCUUAACCUUCGGGAGGGCGCUACC